rnacentral:rRNA from 1 species
GCGGUGCUGGCGGCGUGCUAAUACAUGCAAGUCGAGCGAAUGGAUUAAGAGCUUGCUCUUAUGAAGUUAGCGGCGGACGGGUGAGUAACACGUGGGUAACCUGCCCAUAAGACUGGGAUAACUCCGGGAAACCGGGGCUAAUACCGGAUAACAUUUUGAACCGCAUGGUUCGAAAUUGAAAGGCGGCUUCGGCUGUCACUUAUGGAUGGACCCGCGUCGCAUUAGCUAGUUGGUGAGGUAACGGCUCACCAAGGCAACGAUGCGUAGCCGACCUGAGAGGGUGAUCGGCCACACUGGGACUGAGACACGGCCCAGACUCCUACGGGAGGCAGCAGUAGGGAAUCUUCCGCAAUGGACGAAAGUCUGACGGAGCAACGCCGCGUGAGUGAUGAAGGCUUUCGGGUCGUAAAACUCUGUUGUUAGGGAAGAACAAGUGCUAGUUGAAUAAGCUGGCACCUUGACGGUACCUAACCAGAAAGCCACGGCUAACUACGUGCCAGCAGCCGCGGUAAUACGUAGGUGGCAAGCGUUAUCCGGAAUUAUUGGGCGUAAAGCGCGCGCAGGUGGUUUCUUAAGUCUGAUGUGAAAGCCCACGGCUCAACCGUGGAGGGUCAUUGGAAACUGGGAGACUUGAGUGCAGAAGAGGAAAGUGGAAUUCCAUGUGUAGCGGUGAAAUGCGUAGAGAUAUGGAGGAACACCAGUGGCGAAGGCGACUUUCUGGUCUGUAACUGACACUGAAGGCGCGAAAGCGUGGGGAGCA